CAAAGUUGUCUGGUCUGUUGUUCUAUUUAUUUUAUUAUUUUUGUUGAAUAACAAAAUAACAUCUCUUUCCUCCUCAUUAUCCAGUUUUUCCCUAGAAGUUUGAUUAAGUGUAUCAUAUCUUCAUUGUUACAGAAAAGCUUUCAGACUCAGUUGUAUGGUUUUGCUAUAGGUGGAAGUAGGAAGAGCAAGUGGACUGGUACAACCUUUUGUUUAAACUCUGUCAGUGGUACAAGUAAAAUUUGAUGAGAGGAAAUAUAGAAGAGGGAUGAGAAUUUUCCAUAUAAAAAAUAAAUUCCUCUUGGUAUCAGUCUGACAGUUUAAGGCAUAAUUCUUUGUGAUGGGCUUCACAGCUAGAUGCAUGGGCUUCUUCUUGGUAAAUUACUGUUAUGUCUGGGUGGUUUUGUUUGAUGUACAGAACACUAAGGUGGUUCCUCAGUUUCUUGGAGAGAGUAAAGCUUGUCAGAAAAGGCUGAAUGGUAUGUAGAAGAGAGUAGAUGGGUUGCCUGGAAUUCCUUUGGUAUGAUAUUCAUCUGCUUUCAUUUGGUAAGAAAGAAAAUCUGAGUAUACCUGAGCAAGUUUCUUGUAUAGUUUGCUUGCAGUCUAUUUCAUUCAGCUGAGUGGUGGGGUCAGUAAGCGUAGGUAGGUAAUGAGCCACCUUAGUCUAGACUCCGGAAGAAGGAAGGGUAGACUUAUACCUUAAAGACUAACUAAAUGAGAUGUGUAUGGCAUGAGCUUUCAUAAGCAGCAGGCUUACUUCAUCAGGUGUGUCCCUUCACAGCAUCUGAUGAAGAAAUAAGCUUGCUGCUUAAAAAAGCCUAUGCUAUGUUUGAUUUAGCUAGUCUAUUAGGUGUAACACCACCCUGCCUUCUGCCCGAUUUCAAACAUGUAUUGCUUCAUUUGAAACAGCUGUGGUUUGAGUAAGGAGGUAGUGUAAAGCUCUUGUGACAAAUUGAGUGCUGCUAAGAAAAUGGUCUUGGUUUCCUGUCUUUAGUAACAUUACAUGGAUCAGAGUUGUAAGAGAAUAUGCCUUAUCACACGAUAGAAGAAGAUAUCCAUUGAUUCCUGUUACAGGAAGUGUUAGUACUCAUCAAGUGCUAUAUAAAUAAAGGAAGUUACUGGAUGCUAUUUUAACUAUAAGCAGUGAGUGGAUAUGACCAAAUGUGAAACACUGAGCUUCUGACCCUGUAACAUAGAUCGGACUGAGAUUAGUUUUCGCUGUCUCUUGCCUGUUAGUCCAUCUACUUAUUUUAGAGAGAGCUCUUAAUACACCUCAAAGUGAGCAGUUGUGGGAAUAGAAAGGCUUCAUUGCCACCUUUUUUUUUUUUUAAUCGCUAUUAGGUGUAUUUAUGGCAUAAUUUUAGACCAUCUUAAGCACUGUUGUGCAGAUUUUCCCUGGAUAGAUAACUGGGUUGUACACUAGAAAAUAAAUUUGUUACCCUGCACAGAGUGAAAGUAAAUUUGUCUUUGUAUGAGAGGCUAAUUUUAGAUGGGAUUCAUCAUCCCACCAACCUACACAGGCCACAUGGCUGUAGUGCUACAGUCUGGCAGGGACUAGACUUUCAGUCUAUAGAUUGGGUAUGGAUAAGUGGUUGCUGCUCUUUUGGUGUCAUCUGCCUAGAUGUAGAUCUAGUAGCUAUUUUAUUCCUUGGUGCCCUCUCCAUUCUCUUGUUUAACAAUUAUCCUGUUUGGACUCCUGGUGGAUAGGUGUAUCUUACCUUAUGAGUUUGUAGAAAGGAAAGAGUUUUUCUUCCUUUUCUGCUUCACUAUGGGAUUAUGGUCCCUCACCCACUGUGGUGGAAAAUAUUAAAAGCUUGUAAUUCCUUUUUAAAAAAAACAAAUGUAAUCCCUGCUCCUCCUCCUUGCUAGACAAUAUGCAGAGAUGGAAGACAAUAGGAUAGCAGAUUGGAGCCCUUGUAUGUGCAAGCCUCUUCUGUUAGUUGUUUCAGUUCCAGGUGCUUUAAAAUUCAGGAUAGUUACUGCUAAUUUAUGCAGCCAGGUGCAUCUCUUCAGCUCCAAAUAGGAACUAAAGGAGGUGGGACUGUCUCUUUGAGCCAAAAGAAAGGCAGGUUAGGGAGAAUGUUAGGUGUAUUAUUGCUUUCUCGCCAAGCUUAGGUUGGGUGUUUGUGUUUUAUUGUUUUUCAGUUAGUAGUUAUGCUGGACCCUGGGGCAGGGAGGUGAAUUUGAAUAUGGAAGAUUAACAGUGAAAAGUUUUGAUCCACAGCUGAAAACCUGUAA